UGGGGAAUAUUGGACAAUGGGCGAAAGCCUGACCCAGCAACGCCGCGUGAAGGAUGAAGUAUUUCGGUAUGUAAACUUCGAAAGAAUAGGAAGAAUAAAUGACGGUACUAUUUAUAAGGUCCGGCUAACUACGUGCCAGCAGCCGCGGUAAUACGUAGGGACCAAGCGUUGUUCGGAUUUACUGGGCGUAAAGGGCGCGUAGGCGGCAAUUCAAGUCAUCUGUGAAAUCUCCGGGCUUAACUCGGAACGGUCAGAUGAUACUGCUUUGCUAGAGUGCAGAAGGGGCAAUCGGAAUUCUUGGUGUAGCGGUGAAAUGCGUAGAUAUCAAGAGGAACACCUGAGGUGAAGACGGGUUGCUGGGCUGACACUGACGCUGAGGCGCGAAAGCCAGGGGAGCAAACGGGAUUAGAUACCCAUGUAGUCCCUGAGCGGGCUGGCAAGGCGCAU
rnacentral:rRNA from 1 species